rnacentral:rRNA from 2 species
AAGCGUAACAAGGUCUCCGUAGGUGAACCUGCGGAGGGAUCAUUACACAAAUAUGAAGGCGGGCUGGAACCUCUCGGGGUUACAGCCUUGCUGAAUUAUUCACCCUUGUCUUUUGCGUACUUCUUGUUUCCUUGGUGGGUUCGCCCACCACUAGGACAAACAUAAACCUUUUGUAAUUGCAAUCAGCGUCAGUAACAAAUUAAUAAUUACAACUUUCAACAACGGAUCUCUUGGUUCUGGCAUCGAUGAAGAACGCAGCGAAAUGCGAUAAGUAGUGUGAAUUGCAGAAUUCAGUGAAUCAUCGAAUCUUUGAACGCACAUUGCGCCCUUUGGUAUUCCAAAGGGCAUGCCUGUUCGAGCGUCAUUUGUACCCUCAAGCUUUGCUUGGUGUUGGGCGUCUUGUCUCUAGCUUUGCUGGAGACUCGCCUUAAAGUAAUUGGCAGCCGGCCUACUGGUUUCGGAGCGCAGCACAAGUCGCACUCUCUAUCAGCAAAGGUCUAGCAUCCAUUAAGCCUUUUUUUUCAACUUUUGACCUCGGAUCAGGUAGGGAUACCCGCUGAACUUAAGCAUAUCAAUAAGCGGAGGAAAAGAAACCAACAGGGAUUGCCCUAGUAACGGCGAGUGAAGCGGCAACAGCUCAAAUUUGAAAUCUGGCUCUUUUAGAGUCCGAGUUGUAAUUUGCAGAGGGCGCUUUGGCUUUG